rnacentral:rRNA from 1 species
UACGUAGGGGGCAAGCGUUGUCCGGAAUCAUUGGGCGUAAAGGGCGCGUAGGCGGAUAGUUAAGUCCGAUGUGAAAUACCAGGGCUCAACCCUGGGGCUGCAUCGGAAACUGGUUAUCUUGAGGACAGGAGAGGAAAGUGGAAUUCCACGUGUAGCGGUGAAAUGCGUAGAUAUGUGGAGGAACACCAGUGGCGAAGGCGACUUUCUGGACUGUAACUGACGCUGAGGCGCGAAAGCGUGGGGAGCAAACAGG